ACUUCAUGAAGCUGGAAUUGCUGUAAUGGCAGGUCAGCAUACUGCCGUGAAUACGUUCCCGGGCCUUGUACACACCGCCCGUCACACCAUGAGAGUUGGGAAUACCCGAAGCCUGUGAGCUAACUGUAAAGAGGCAGCAGUCGAAGGUAGAAUCAAUGAUUGGGGUGAAGUCGUAACAAGGUACC
rnacentral:rRNA from 1 species